rnacentral:rRNA from 1 species
UACGUAGGGGGCAAGCGUUGUCCGGAUUUAUUGGGCGUAAAGAGCGUGUAGGCGGCCAUGUAGGUCCGUUGUGAAAACUCGAGGCUCAACCUCGAGACGCCGAUGGAAACCAUGUGGCUAGAGUCCGGAAGAGGAGAGUGGAAUUCAUGGUGUAGCAGUGAAAUGCGUAGAGAUCAUGAGGAAGACCAGUGGCGAAGGCGGGUCUCUGGACAGUUCCUGACACUGAGGCACGAAGGCCAGGGGAGCAAACGGG